AAUCAACGCUGGCGGCGUGCCUCAGACAUGCAAGUCGAACGCGAAAUCUCCCUUCGGGGAGAAAGUAGUGUGGCGCACGGGUGAGUAACACGUAGGUAAUCUACCUUUGGAUGGGGAAUAACACCGAGAAAUCGGUGCUAAUACCGCAUAAUGCAGCGGCACCUAAUGGUGACAGUUGUUAAAGCGGGGGAUCGCAAGACCUCGCGUCUAAAGAGGAGCCUGCGGCGGAUUAGCUAGUUGGUAAGGUAAUGGCUUACCAAGGCAACGAUCCGUAACCGGCCUGAGAGGGCGGUCGGUCACACUGACACUGACAUACGGGUCAGACUCCUACGGGAGGCAGCAGUCGGGAAUUUGGGCAAUGGGCGAAAGCCUGACCCAGCAACGCCGCGUGAAGGAUGAAAUCCCUCGGGAUGUAAACUUCGCAAGAACGGGAAGAAUAAGCCGGUGCAAAUAUCACCGGCGAUGACGGUACCGUUUGUAAGCUCCGGCUAACUCCGUGCCAGCAGCCGAC
rnacentral:rRNA from 1 species